GACAGAGGGUGCAAACGUUGUCCGGAAUCACUGGGCGUAAAGGGCGCGUAGGCGGCCUGAUAAGUAGGGGGUGAAAUCCUGCGGCUUAACCGCAGGGCUGCCUUCUAAACUGUCAGGCUUGAGCACAGUAGAGGCAGGUGGAAUUCCCGGUGUAGCGGUGGAAUGCGUAGAGAUCGGGAAGAACAUCAGUGGCGAAGGCGGCCUGCUGGGCUGUUGCUGACGCUGAGGCGCGACAGCGUGGGGAGCAAACAGG
rnacentral:rRNA from 1 species